UGGGGAAUUUUGGACAAUGGGGGCAACCCUGAUCCAGCCAUGCCGCGUGAGUGAAGAAGGCCUUCGGGUUGUAAAGCUCUUUCGGCUGGGAAGAAAUCGCACAGGCCAAUACCCUGUGUGGAUGACGGUACCAGCAUAAGAAGCACCGGCUAACUACGUGCCAGCAGCCGCGGUAAUACGUAGGGUGCGAGCGUUAAUCGGAAUUACUGGGCGUAAAGCGUGCGCAGGCGGUUAGGUAAGUUUGAUGUGAAAUCCCCGGGCUCAACCUGGGAACUGCAUUGAAGACUGCCUAACUAGAGUACGGCAGAGGGGGGUGGAAUUCCACGUGUAGCAGUGAAAUGCGUAGAGAU
rnacentral:rRNA from 1 species